rnacentral:lncRNA from 1 species
GGAGAUAGAGGAAGAUGAUGAUGUGAAGAAAAAGUGGAGGUAAGUGACGCGACCAGAGAUCAGAGCGUGGCGAUCACUUGUUCAUCUUCACACUCUAGUCAUCUAAUAGUGACGUUGUGAGCAUCUUCAGCUUUGCAAAUCACAAGACUAUUACCUUUGUCGCAACUCACACUCAAUGAUGACACUUAAGCAUUUUCAACUUCCUAAAUUGCAGGCUAUCGACACGGUAAGGUAGAAGAAAUGUGC